AUAUAUAUAUGGCACAUUUUGGUCCCUGUCAAUUGAGUUUGAAACAUCUUUGUAGAUCACUAUAAGUGGAAAUUAUGGUCAUCCUAAAGCAAGUGUGAUGCAAAUGAUAACCAUUCUGUUGCAGCCUAUGAUGGAUAAUUUGGAGACUCGGCCAAAUUAUGAGGCUUUUGAGAAAUCAUGAGGUGCAGCAAUUCCAUCUCAUGUGCCUAUAUAAUGUUUGUUUAGUGGGAAAUUAUGAGCAAAUAAAAAGAAAAAAAUUAAAGUCAAAUUAGACCAUUACUUCAAGGGUAGAAUGAUUUAUGCACCAAAAUAUUAAAUUUUGUGUUUUGUACUUCUUCCACAACGUAUCAGAGAAGAUAAUUUAAGUGUUAAGUAUCUUGUGUGAUAUAUUUGUGAGCAUUUAUUCUUUUAAGAGCACUAAUGGAUGAUUAGCAAGGGAUAUAUGGACACUAGGAGAUUUCUUUAUGGUGUAUUGGUUUUUGUUUAUUGUCAAAGUUAUGAUGAUGUGUUUAGGGUAUGGAUCGACGAAUAUACAAUGUACCGAUGUAAACUAUAUAAAGAAUGAGUCAAUGUUAAUUAAUAUUUUUCUUUUUGUUAUUA